rnacentral:rRNA from 1 species
UAGGGAAUAUUGGACAAUGGGCGAAAGCCUGAUCCAGCAACGCCGCGUGUGCGAUGACGGCCUUCGGGUUGUAAAGCACUUUUAGAGGAGAUGAGAAAGGACAGUAUCCUCUGAAUAGGCCUCGGCGAACUACGUGCCAGCAGCCGCGGUAAAACGUAGGAGGCUAGCGUUAUCCGGAUUUAUUGGGCGUAAAGCGCGUGCAGGCGGUUUAUCAAGUUGGUUGUGAAAGCUCCUGGCUUAACUGGGAGAGGUCGAUCAAAACUGAUAGACUAGAGAAUGGUAGAGGGAGGUGGAAUUCCGGGUGUAGUGGUGAAAUGCGUAGAUAUCCGGAGGAACACCAGUGGCGAAAGCGGCCUCCUGGGCCAUUUCUGACGCUAAGACGCGAAAGCUAGGGUAGCAAACGG